UGAUUUAAAUUGGAAUAAAUUGCCGUUAAAUUAUGGAGCGAUUGAAUCGGUUAUACAAUUUAAAUUCGAUUUACUUCAAAGGAAAGGCCAUAAUUUUUGGAUUCACUUCCAUAGUCCAGAUGAAUUUCCAAAUACGGAUAGUAAUCGCCAUUUUCAUUUGUACGAUGACGAAGUUCAGGAAUUUUUAAUAAAAACAACUCCAGUCGAAAAUGCAAAAAAUGUUCGGGAUAUUUCGAUUGAAGGGCGCAAUUGUAGAUUUUCGGACGAACGAUGGCCCGAAAA